rnacentral:rRNA from 1 species
GACGAACGCUGGCGGCGUGCUUAACACAUGCAAGUCGAACGGAAAGGCCCUGCUUUUGUGGGGUGCUCGAGUGGCGAACGGGUGAGUAACACGUGAGUAACCUGCCCUUGACUUUGGGAUAACUUCAGGAAACUGGGGCUAAUACCGGAUAGGAGCUCCUGCUGCAUGGUGGGGGUUGGAAAGUUUCGGCGGUUGGGGAUGGACUCGCGGCUUAUCAGCUUGUUGGUGGGGUAGUGGCUUACCAAGGCUUUGACGGGUAGCCGGCCUGAGAGGGUGACCGGCGCCAUGGGGACGUAGGUACGGGCCAGAGUCGGACGGGAGGCAGAAGUGGGGAAUGGUGCACCAUGGGCGGCAGCCUGAUGCGACAACGCAGUGUGCGGGAUGACGGCCUUCGGGUUGGAAACCGCUUUCGCCUGUGACGAAGCGUGAGUGACGGUAAUGGGUAAAAAAGCACCGGCUAAGUACGUG